UUGUUCCUACGGGAGGCAGCAGUAGGGAAUCUUCCACAAUGGGCGAAAGCCUGAUGGAGCAACGCCGCGUGGGUGAAGAAGGUCUUCGGAUCGUAAAACCCUGUUGUUAGAGAAGAAAGUGCGUGAGAGUAACUGUUCACGUUUCGACGGUAUCUAACCAGAAAGCCACGGCUAACUACGUGCCAGCAGCCGCGGUAAUACGGAGGAUGCGAGCGUUAUCCGGAUUUAUUGGGCGUAAAGGGAACGCAGGCGGUCUUUUAAGUCUGAUGUGAAAGCCUUCGGCUUAACCGGAGUAGUGCAUUGGG
rnacentral:rRNA from 1 species